rnacentral:rRNA from 1 species
GGUUAAGCGACUAAGCGUACACGGUGGAUGCCCUGGCAGUCAGAGGCGAUGAAGGGCGUGCUAAUCUGCGAUAAGCGCCGGUAAGGUGAUAUGAACCGUUAUAACCGGCGAUACCCGAAUGGGGAAACCCAGUGUGACUCGUCACACUAUCAUUAACUGAAUCCAUAGGUUAAUGAGGCGAACCGGGGGAACUGAAACAUCUAAGUACCCCGAGGAAAAGAAAUCAACCGAGAUUCCCCCAGUAGCGGCGAGCGAACGGGGAGGAGCCCAGAGCCUGAAUCAGCAUGUGUGUUAGUGGAAGCGUCUGGAAAGUCGCGCGAUACAGGGUGACAGCCCCGUACACAAAAGCGCAUGUGUUGUGAGCUCGAUGAGUAGGGCGGGACACGUGGUAUCCUGUCUGAAUAUGGGGGGACCAUCCUCCAAGGCUAAAUACUCCUGACUGACCGAUAGUGAACCAGUACCGUGAGGGAAAGGCGAAAAGAACCCCGGCGAGGGGAGUGAAAAAGAACCUGAAACCGUGUACGUACAAGCAGUGGGAGCACCCUUCGGGGUGUGACUGCGUACCUUUUGUAUAAUGGGUCAGCGACUUAUAUUCUGUAGCAAGGUUAACCGUAUAGGGGAGCCGGAGGGAAACCGAGUCUUAAUUGGGCGUUAAGUUGCAGGGUAUAGACCCGAAACCCGGUGAUCUAGCCAUGGGCAGGUUGAAGGUUGGGUAACACUAACUGGAGGACCGAACCGACUAAUGUUGAAAAAUUAGCGGAUGACCUGUGGCUGGGGGUGAAAGGCCAAUCAAACCGGGAGAUAGCUGGUUCUCCCCGAAAGCUAUUUAGGUAGCGCCUCGUGAAUUCAUCUCCGGGGGUAGAGCACUGUUUCGGCUAGGGGGCCAUCCCGGCUUACCAACCCGAUGCAAACUGCGAAUACCGGAGAAUGUUAUCACGGGAGACACACGGCGGGUGCUAACGUCCGUCGUGAAGAGGGAAACAACCCAGACCGCCAGCUAAGGUCCCAAAGUCAUGGUUAAGUGGGAAACGAUGUGGGAAGGCCCAGACAGCCAGGAUGUUGGCUUAGAAGCAGCCAUCAUUUAAAGAAAGCGUAAUAGCUCACUGGUCGAGUCGGCCUGCGCGGAAGAUGUAACGGGGCUAAACCAUGCACCGAAGCUGCGGCAGCGA